GCCGGAGUCAGUGGCGGGGUUCUCGCCGGUCCUGCGGGUCGCUGCUUGGCUGUGGGUUAGCAGCACCCUGAGCGGAGCGGAAGAGCUGCCCGCCGCCGCGUAACCCCGAGGCCGAGACUCCUGGCCUGGCCUCCUUGGGCCCACGACGCCUGCCCCGCGGAGCGGACCCAUGGGCCUGAGGUUUGUGUGCGGGGCCUCAGGCGAGCGCUGGCGCAGCCUGUCCCCCAUCGUCUGCGCCCUGCGGGCCUGGCCCUCCCCGUGGAAGGACCGCGGGCUUCGGGGCCCCACGCUGGGGGGCUGACUCCUGCCACACACACAGCGGUGGCCGCGGGCCUGGGGCGGCAGCACAGCCAUUCUGCUCGGGCUGCGUGAGCUGACCCCGCUCUCUGUGCACCUACUUUUGCUGCGUUUGGUGCUGAGCCUGAAGUCCCAGGACAGGCGGCUGAGGGGGAAAGAUGGUGUGAAUUGGGUGGGCAGAGACAACUGAAAGCCACAGGACCCGGUUGGCACCUUUUUGGCCGCCUGCGCCUUUGCCUGCAGCCCCGCUCCCUGGGUCACCCGAAGGAGGAGCUGGCGCUCUUUCCGGGCGCAGAAGCACCCGACCCACGCUGGAGGAAACGGUCCCUCUGGGCAGGAGAAGCUUUGGGCCUGGCUGGAGCACACUCACGGAACCACGCCAACGCCUGGCCUGUAGCCAGCUCCCACCUCCCCUCCCACCUUCUAAAAUGCUUGCGGAUCUCACGUGGCCGACCCUAACCAGAUACACAUGGGGAAAGGAAUCAGGUGGCACACAUACCGCCUUUACUCCAUAGAGAACUUCCAAUUGUGGGUAAGAACAAAGCCCCACCUCUUCCUAAUAGAUGCAGUUUUCCACCUGCAGCCAAAAAGACAACCUGUUAUUAGCUUUUUUCCCAGAGGACAGGCAUCUCUAUGAAACUGCCAUUGCAAAAUUUGCCGACAGUGAGAUAACCAGCUCCAUUUUGCUUCUAACCUCCAUGCCCUCCUUGUUUACUGCUGCACGCAGGUUGAACUGUGGGAGGAACUUAGUUUAAAACAAAGAUGAUAACAGCCCUUUCCCAAAGGAAACCUUUCCUGGGGAUUAGCCUGCUUUUGUGGGACCAACAGAUUAGCCACAAGAUUAGAAACUACGGUUGAAGAGUCACGCAGCGGGAGGCUACAGGAUUCUGACCCUCCCCAAACUGCUCCUGGCGAUAACAUCACCAUCGUAAAGCCUAAGAUCAGCACUUGGUGGGUCACCUGGCACCACCCAGGCUCAUCUGAUGUUGUGGCACCCAGGAACUGACUCAGUGCGAAAACAGCUUCGACUCCCUGUGAUUUCAUCUCUGACCUGACCAAUGGGUACUUCUGACUCACUGGCUGCCCCCCACCCACCAGCUUAUCUUUAAAAACUCCAAACCCCAGAUGCUCAGGGAGACCGAGUAAUAAUAAAACUCCAGUCUCCCACACAGCUAGCUCUGCGUGAAUUACCUUUUCUCUGUUGCAAAUGCCCUUUCUUGAUAAAUUGGCUGUCUAGGUAACAGGGAAGGUGAACCCACUGGGCAGUUACACUUUUAUCCACCCUUCCAGCUGGAUCACGCGCCCUCUUCAAUGACAUGACACGCAGCUAGAGUGUAUGAGCUUGCUGCCGGCACCUUCCGUCCUGGAUCGCAUAGCAAGGCCUCAAUGGACAGCCAGGUGCCUGGUCCGGUCCCACUUUUUUUUCUGUCCUGUUCUCGUUUCCUCUUUGCUUGGCCAAAGAGGGUUGGGCCAGGGUCCUGAGUGCAAAGGCUUGGCUUGGUGAAUUAAAGUGGCAGUAGCCGUGUGGCAGAGAAAAUUUGUAGAUGGGUGAAAUCCUGGGCCUACACAGUGACAAAGUGUAUAUAGACAGCCAGCCUAGUUGGUGGAUGUGACAACCCCAGACUCUUCUAGAUUUGUGGAUCCGUGCACCUGCCAGACCUGUCUCUGAGCCAUCUGGGGAGGCUGGGUCGGCACAGACGCAACCCAGUCUCCUCCCACCUCCGAGAGUGCAGUGUCCUGAAUGGAGAACCCCAGCACCCAGAAGCAUCCACUGAAGGACUAAAUUCUACACAUGAAGGCAAACGUCCGUGGUUGACAGAAAUUACACUGGCCAGAAUCCCCAGUCCCCAUGAGGCUUGUCCAGACGCAGUGAACCAGUCGCAGCUGAUAACACACAGACCAUUCCCGAUCCCAGAGGUGCAUUUCAGGAUUCAUUCUAUUUCAUCAGAGACGGGGUCUUCCUGUGUUGCCCAGGCUGGUCUCGAACUCCUGGGCUGAAGCAAUCUUCCUGCCUUGGCCUCCCAGAGGGUUGGAAUUGCAGAUGUGAGGUGUGUCCUGGAACCCUGGCUGCACCCACAGAUACAGCCACUCCUGGGCCCAUGUGGAUGUAACCUUCGAGUGCCGGAAUGCCUCGUCUCCAUGGAGACCAAACUCAAGGGCCUGACUGGCCCAGUCUACCGAGACCAUGAGACCUGCUGUGCCCCUCGGCCAGGCCAACCCAAAUUCUUUUAAAUAAAAGGCACA
ensembl:lncRNA NOP14-AS1 NOP14 antisense RNA 1